rnacentral:rRNA from 1 species
UACGUAGGGUCCGAGCGUUGUUCGGAAUUACUGGGCGUAAAGAGCUCGUAGGCGGUUUGUCGCGUUGUUCGUGAAAACUCACAGCUCAACUGUGGGCGUGCGGGCGAUACGGGCAGACUUGAGUACUGCAGGGGAGACUGGAAUUCCUGGUGUAGCGGUGGAAUGCGCAGAUAUCAGGAGGAACACCGGUGGCGAAGGCGGGUCUCUGGGCAGUAACUGACGCUGAGGAGCGAAAGCGUGGGGAGCGAACAGG